rnacentral:rRNA from 1 species
AUUGAACGCUGGCGGCAGGCCUAACACAUGCAAGUCGAACGGUAGCACAGAGAGCUUGCUCUCGGGUGACGAGUGGCGGACGGGUGAGUAACGUCUGGGAAACUGCCCGAUGGAGGGGGAUAACUACUGGAAACGGUAGCUAAUACCGCAUAACGUCGCAAGACCAAAGUGGGGGACCUUCGGGCCUCACACCAUCGGAUGUGCCCAGAUGGGAUUAGCUAGUAGGUGGGGUAAUGGCUCACCUAGGCGACGAUCCCUAGCUGGUCUGAGAGGAUGACCAGCCACAAUGGAACUAAGACACGGUCCAGACUCCUACGGGAGGCAGCAGUGGGGAAUAUUGCACAAUGGGCGCAAGCCUGAUGCAGCCAUGCCGCGUGUAUGAAGAAGGCCUUCGGGUUGUAAAGUACUUUCAGCGGGGAGGAAGGCGGUGAAGUUAAUAGCUUCACCGAUUGACGUUACCCGCAGAAGAAGCACCGGCUAACUCCGUGCCAGCCGCCGCAGUAA